AGUCACUGACAUUAGAUACCCGGUAGUCCCAGCCGUAAACAAUGUGCGUUAGGUGUGUCGGUAACCACGUGUUACUGAUGCGUCGAAGAGAAAUCGUGAAACGCACCACCUGGGAAGUACGGUCGCAAGGCUGAAACUUAAAGGAAUUGGCGGGGAGCACCACAACAGGUGGAGCCUGCGGUUUAAUUGGAUUCAACGCCGGACAUCUCACCGGAUAAGACAGCUGAAUGAUUGUCAAUCUGAAGGUUUUACAUGACUAGCUG
rnacentral:rRNA from 1 species